ACUCUUUGAGAUGGUUCUGUCCCUUUUGCUGCAACGUUGCUUUGUUGUUUAGUAUUGGGAAUAGUAUUUAUGUGCUUUAAUUAAAUCAUUGUUUCUCUAAUCUGGAAGUAAUUUAUUGCCACAUCUGCAUGAUUGGGGAAGUUGAAGAUGCAUGCUUUUUAAAUUAAAAUUCUAACCUUAAAGCUAUGAUCUCACAACAAACAAAUGUAAGGUUUACUUAUAGCCAGUACUUUUUAAGCACUAAGUUGGAUGUCAGGGGAGGAAGUCAGGCAUAAUGCAGAACUGGCGCUACUCUCAAAAGAGCUUGCAUUUCACCAAGAACCAACAGACAUGUGGGAAAAGGGAAUGGAUGGAAAGGCAGCUGCUCCGUUGCCUUCUCUGUAGCUAGAAUUUCGGAGUUACCAUGUAACAGUCAUGGGCACGAUAAGGUGCUUGGUGAGCUUCGUCCCACAGGAUAGUGCAAGAUUCUACAGAGUUUGUGGCUCAAGAGCAAUCCAUUUAAGUAGAGAUUAUAAAUCAAAAUGUUGUAAGAGCCGAUUAUUCAGUUAAAACAGUGAAGAGAGAUGGAAAGCAAGAGGCGAAGCCUGUCCAUUUUUUUGCAGCACCAAUGCUUAAGUAUCCAUCGUAUCUUUUUUUUUUUUUUUUUUUUUUUUUUGAGAGAGGGUUUCUCUGUGCAGCCCUGGCUGUCCUGGAACUCACACUGUAGACCAAGCUGGCCUCGAACUCAGAAAUCCACCUGCCUCUCUUUCCCAAGUGCUGGGAUUAAAGACAUGAGUCACCACUGCUCGGCCCAUCCGUAUCUUUUAGCGUGUACUGUCGCAUUCACCGUCUACACAUAUUUCUCCUUUCCCAGUGACAGUGCUAACAGGAUUAUGUGGUGUGCAUCGACCCAUGGCUUGAUAGUUUUUAUUUGGAUUUUUUCAUAUUUGCCCUUCAUUCUUGUUCUCACAUAUCAGCUAUGUAGUGGAGGUGGACUGGCCUGUCCUUCACCGGUAGGCUUCUUUGUUAUUUAUCUGAUCUUUGCUGAUGAACAUAUAGGUUGUUUCUAGCUUUCAGAGGGUAUAUCUGUGUCUGCCCUUGUCAGUGGGUGUCCUAUGCACCAUAGGACAACAUAACUCAGUUUUUUCAGGAUGGAUGUCCUGGAAGUGACCAUUUUAGUAGAGAAAGCAUAGAAAAUUGUCUUUUAAAAAUAUUAGUGUACAUCAUCCCUAACAUUGCAUGAGAUUCUGGGAUUGGUGUUUUAUUUUGUUUUUUCACUUUGACAACAGUCUGUCUUCUCAGUUUUGGGGUAUCUAAAAGGGAGAAAAUGGUAUGUGUGUAUAUUUAAUGUUUUUGAAGUUGGCAAAAGUCUUUAAUUUUUGCCCCAGACAAACACUUCUGCUUAAUCAUUUAGGACACAUUAUACUUUAAAACACUAUUAAGAAAUAGCAAAAGAGAAAACAUUUUUGGGAGGGGUAAUCCCCCUGUGUGGACUUGAUUUCAUUUGAAAGUGUCUCAGGGCUGCUGGAGUCUGCAUCGUGACAUUUGUUGAGUUGUCUAGAAACCCACAGGCUAAGCCUAGCACACAGGAAAGCUGAACUCCAGCUUUGUCCUUUAUGGCUUCCUCAUGUGGGGAACCUUGAGUCUGGUUCGUUGUGUGACAUGUUUUUUACAUGAGCAAAUAUGCAUGGAAGUGUGUUGUAGCAUUUGGCUUUCUCUGAGACUCUCCCAAGGGGAACAAUGGUUCUCAAAUGGUUGAGAACUCUGCGUACAGGCACAAAUUUGCUCUUGAACAUGAAGAGAAUCCUGAGGUAGGGAAAUCCUGUGUGUCCUGCCCCUAUCUCAGAGUGCCAGGCUCAUGGAAUGAUUGACAAGCCCCCUUUUGCUCUGUGCCCGU
ensembl:sense_intronic Gm28112 predicted gene 28112